rnacentral:lncRNA from 1 species
GCAUAAGUAUUCUGUUUAGCAUUCUGCAAUGCAAUAUCUGGAAUGAGAGAUGUACACCAUACUAAUACAAAGCUUCACUUAAAGAACUCAGCAGAUUUCAUGAACUAGAAGCCAGAAAGUUGAGUGUGUUCCUGAAGUGCUGUAGACCUCAGAGGCUGAAGUAUAGCUGUACAUCUCCUGGGAGUCUCUGUUGCUAUUUAUAAUAUAUAGAAAAUUCUUCUCCAGUUCUGUAAGUUUUUUCCAAAGGAUGUUUCUUGUACUGAUGGAGCAUCAAAAGAAGUAAAUGGAGAGAAAGGAGAGAUAGUUCCUAUCCCACAGGCCCUCAAGAAUGGCAGAAAUCAAUUCUAUUUGUAAUGUUUCAAUGUGAUUCUUAAUACUCAUAAAUGGAGUAAGGUAGGUCUGUGAGGGAAUAGCUUCCUCAGAAAAAUUCUACAGACAUCUAGAUUUUUGGAAUUUCAUUUAAAAGAACAUCCAAACAAUGAAAAUUUUUGGACUUCUUAUGAAAAUUGAAGGAAUCAUGGUUUUGUCUUUUCAUUUGUCUUUCUGUUAGUCUUUUUUUCUGCUACUAUUUUCUACAUACUAUCUUAAUUUCAUGACAGUGUUGUUGACUGUUUCUGAAGUUAAAUACUCUUAAUAUCAACAAAUUCUGUGAAAAGCAGCAGUGUUUCUUCCUCUAGAAA